rnacentral:rRNA from 1 species
AGUGAACGCUGGCGGUAGGCCUAACACAUGCAAGUCGAACGGCAGCACAGUAAGAGCUUGCUCUUACGGGUGGCGAGUGGCGGACGGGUGAGGAAUACAUCGGAAUCUACUUUUUCGUGGGGGAUAACGUAGGGAAACUUACGCUAAUACCGCAUACGACCUACGGGUGAAAGCAGGGGAUCUUCGGACCUUGCGCGAUUGAAUGAGCCGAUGUCGGAUUAGCUAGUUGGCGGGGUAAAGGCCCACCAAGGCGACGAUCCGUAGCUGGUCUGAGAGGAUGAUCAGCCACACUGGAACUGAGACACGGUCCAGACUCCUACGGGAGGCAACAGUGGGGAAUAUUGGGCGAUGGGCGCAAGCCUGAUCCAGCCAUACCGCGUGGGUGAAGAAGGCCUUCGGGUUGUAAAGCCCUUUUGUUGGGAAAGAAAAGCAGCAGGUUAAUACCCCGCUGUUCUGACGGUACCCAAAGAAUAAGCACCGGCUAACUUCGUG